rnacentral:rRNA from 1 species
GGGGGGGGGGGGGGGCGGGCGGGACGGAUGCAGGUCGGGGGGGGAGGCCGGGGCGUGCUUGGGUACUCUAGUGGCGAACGGGUGAGUAACACGUGGGGGAUCUGCCCUGUACUUCGGGAUACGCGUGGGAGACUGGGUCUAAUACCGGAUAUGACGAUCUCUUGUAUGGUGUUGUGGAAAGCUCUGGCGGUAUGGGAUGAGCUCGCUGCCUAUAAGCUUGUUGGUGGGGGAAUGGCCUACCAAGGCGUCGCCGGGUAGCCGGCCUGAGAGGGUGUACGGCCACAUUGGGACUGAGAUACGGCGCAGACUCCUACGGGAGGCAGUAGUGGGGAAUAUUGCACAAUGGGCGCAAGCCUGAUGCAGCGACGCAGCGUGGGGGAUGACGGCCUUCGGGUUGUAAACUCCUUUCGCAAUCGACGAAGCCCUUUGGUGACGGUAGGUUGAGAAGAAGCACCGGCUAACUACGUG